CUCUGAGCCUGAUCAUCUCAAAGGAGGAGCCGUGCACGUGGGUCCCAGCAGUCGUUGUCCAGGAAUCCUGAGCCUGCCUUCUGGGUCCCAUCUCCAGACGCUACCCGUAUGUCUUCCGCACGCCACUGGCCCCGGAGGAGACCACAGAACUGGUCUAAGCUAGUGGCAGAGCCAAGUGAGAUGAGGGACAAGCAUAAGUGAAAUGUUUCCUUCCCCAUAUUGACUAGAACAGCUCUCUUCUUUUGAAAAGAGCCACCUCCUUCCUCAAAAAUACUAAAAUUGCCACAUGGCCCCACAAUCCCACUUCCGGGGAGAGAUAUGUCUAAAAGAAAUGAAAUCAGGAUCCUGAAGAGACAACUGCACGCUCAGGAUCGUUGAAGCAUGACCACAGCAGCCAAGACAGGGACACAACUGAAAGUGUCCAUCGACGGAUGAAUGGCUAAAGAGGAUGUGGUAUAUAUGCACGAUGGAAUAUUAGUCAGCCACAUAAAAGGAGAGAAGGAAAUUCUGCCAUUUUCAACAACAGGAACCUGGAGAUCAUUAGGCUAGGUGAAAUAAGCCAGACACAGGAACACAAAUCCUGCAUGCUAUCACUUAUGUGUGGAAUCUAAAAACGCUGGUCUUGCAGAAGCAGACAGUGGAAUGAUGGUAGA